rnacentral:rRNA from 1 species
UAUCAGCUUGUUGGUGAGGUAAUGGCUCACCAAGGCGUCGACGGGUAGCUGGUCUGAGAGGACGAUCAGCCACACUGGGACUGAGACACGGCCCAGACUCCUACGGGAGGCAGCAGUGGGGAAUCUUGCGCAAUGGGCGAAAGCCUGACGCAGCAACGCCGCGUGGGGGAUGAAGGCCUUCGGGUCGUAAACCCCUUUCAGCAGGGACGAAAAUGACGGUACCUGCAGAAGAAGGACCGGCCAACUACGUGCCAGCAGCCGCGGUAACACGUAGGGUCCAAGCGUUGUCCGGAUUCAUUGGGCGUAAAGAGCUCGUAGGCGGUUUUGUAAGUCGGGUGUGAAAACUCAGGGCUCAACCCUGAGACGCCACCCGAUACUGCAAUGACUCGAGUCCGGUAGGGGAGCAUGGAAUUCCUGGUGUAGCGGUGAAAUGCGCAGAUAUCAGGAGGAACACCAGUAGCGAAGGCGGUGCUCUGGGCCGGUACUGACGCUGAGGAGCGAAAGCGUGGGGAGCGAACAGGAUUAGAUACCCUGGUAGUCCACGCCGUAAACGUUGGGCACUAGGUGUGGGAUUCAAUCAACGGAUUCCGUGCCGUAGCUAACGCAUUAA